rnacentral:misc_RNA from 1 species
GCUGUUGUUACUUGAUAGUCGACCCAAGCACAUGAAGUGUGUCAAAGUUGCUUAGGGUUGCUGGUUUGCUUGUUGUGUCAUUGCCAGUGGGUUUGGCCGAAAAACAAAAGUAGACAGGUAGUUGGGUGUUUUAGGUAAGAGAGCGACCAGACGUUUUGAGUCAUCUACAUUAGUGAUCUCAUCCUUCCACAACCAAGGCCACCCAUCAUUCCACAACCACGGCCAUCCAUCAUUCCACAACCACGGCCAUAGAAUCCACCUCUACCUCCUCCACCUCUACAUCUAUCAUACCCAAUGCCACGAUAUAGAAAUUGAUGGUGAAAGUCAUGAAUUUCUUGUUAGAGAUUUGGAUUGUGACAAAUUAAUGAUUAAUUGGUAUUUUCAUGCCUUCUAUUAAUAUUGGUUGUUCGACAUUGUGAUGUCCACAAUCUGUUUGAUGGAAGGUCUGAG